rnacentral:rRNA from 1 species
GACGAACGCUGGCGGCGUGCUUAACACAUGCAAGUCGAACGAAGAGCGAUGGAAGCUUGCUUCUAUCAAUCUUAGUGGCGAACGGGUGAGUAACGCGUAAUCAACCUGCCCUUCAGAGGGGGACAACAGUUGGAAACGACUGCUAAUACCGCAUACGAUCUAAUCUCGGCAUCGAGGAUAGAUGAAAGGUGGCCUCUACAUGUAAGCUAUCACUGAAGGAGGGGAUUGCGGUUGAUUAGCUAGUUGGAGGGGUAACGGCCCACCAAGGCGAUGAUCAGUAGCCGGUCGGAGAGGAUGAACGGCCGCAGUGGGACGGAGACACGGCCCAGACUCCUACGGGAGGCAGCCGUGGGGAAUCUUGCGCAAUGGACGAGAGUCUGACGGAGCAACGCCGCGUGAGUGAUGACGGCCUUCGGGUGGGAAAGCUCUGUUAAUCGGGACGAAAGGCCUUCUUGCGAACAGUUAGAAGGAUUGACGGUACCGGAAUAGAAAGCCACGGCUAACUACGUG